AGAGUUUGAUCAUGGCUCAGAAUGAACGCUGGCGGCGUGCUUAACACAUGCAAGUCGAACGAGAAAGCCUGAUUUCGGUUGGGCGAGUAAAGUGGCGCACGGGUGAGUAACGCGUAGAUGAUCUACCCUUGAGUUUAGGACAACCUUGCGAAAGCGGGGCUAAUACUGAAUACGAUCAUGCUUUAGGGCGUGAUGAAAGUUGGCCGCUCGAAGAAGCCAAUGCUCGAGGCUGAGUCUGCGUCCUAUCAGCUAGUUGGUAGGGUAACGGCCUACCAAGGCUGCGAUGGUUAGCUGGUCUGAGAGGAUGAUCAGCCACACUGGAACUGACACACGGUCCAGACUCCUACGGGAGGCAGCAGUGAGGAAUUUUGCGCAAUGGGGGAAACCCUGACGCAGCAACGCCGCGUGAGUGAUGAAGGCCUUCGGGUCGUAAAGCUCUGUCAAGUGGGAAGAACCUGCCUGAUGAUAAUACCAUCGGGCACCGACGGUACCACUGAAGGAAGCACCGGCUAACUCCGUGCCAGCAGCCGCGGUAAUACGGGGGGUGCAAGCGUUAUUCGGAAUCAUUGGGCGUAAAGGGCGCGUAGGCGGUCUUUUAAGUCAGAUGUGAAAGCCCUCGGCUUAACCGAGGAAGUGCAUUUGAUACUAAGAGACUUGAGUAUGGGAGAGGGAAGCGGAAUUCCUGGUGUAGCGGUGAAAUGCGUAGAUAUCAGGAGGAACACCGGUGGCGAAGGCGGCUUCCUGGACCAAUACUGACGCUGAGGCGCGAAGGCGUGGGGAGCAAACAGGAUUAGAUACCCUGGUAGUCCACGCAGUAAACUGUGAACACUAGGUGUAGCGGGUAUUGACCCCCGCUGUGCCGAAGCUAACGCAUUAAGUGUUCCGCCUGGGAAGUACGGCCGCAAGGUUAAAACUCAAAUGAAUUGACGG
rnacentral:rRNA from 1 species